AAGACCUCGCGCUAUUAGAGCGGCCGAUGCCCGAUUAGCUAGUUGGUGAGGUAAUGGCCCACCAAGGCAACGAUCGGUAGCUGGUCUGAGAGGAUGAUCAGCCACACUGGGACUGAGACACGGCCCAGACUCCUACGGGAGGCAGCAGUGGGGAAUUUUGGACAAUGGGCGAAAGCCUGAUCCAGCCAUGCCGCGUGAGUGAAGAAGGCCUUCGGGUUGUAAAGCUCUUUCAGCCGGAACGAAAUCGUCCGGGCUAAUACUCCGGAUGGAUGACGGUACUGGAAGAAGAAGCACCGGCUAACUACGUGCCAGCAGCCGCGGUAAUACGUAGGGUGCAGGCGUUAAUCGGAAUUACUGGGCGUAAAGCGUGCGCAGGCGGCUUUUCAAGUCAGAUGUGAAAUCCCCGGGCUUAACCUGGGAACU
rnacentral:rRNA from 1 species